GAGAAGAAUGGGGCCAUGAUCAGAGGCCGCCGCCGUCCUCACUGUCGCACCAUGAUUCGCGUUUGUUCUGGUUUCGCUAUGCUGGCUCGUCAUCGCUGUUGUUUGUGGGCUUUUGUUUUGUUGGGCCGGUACCUUUUCCUUCUCUGUAGUAUUUGCCGUUGUUUCUUGUCUUUUUUCCUCGUUGACUGAGCUACGACGGCGAGCGAGUAAUGGUGAGCGGCGACGGCGACCUGUUCCGUGCCCCUCCAACGGGCGCCUCUAGGUGGAGUGGCGACGGCAGCACCUGCUCCUUCUACUUCGCCUGCAUCCUGACUUCUCGUCACUCCCAGGUUAAUGGCGACGGCGGAUCCUGCUCCGUCUCCUUUGCCUCCGGCAGCCGCGUCUACAAGAUCGAGGUACCUCUCCAUCUUUUCUACGGACAGGUGUGCAGUGGACGAUAUCGCAUGUUCCUCUCGAACUUAAUUUGGUGGAGUAGAUUGUGUAUUAGUUGCGUUGAGUGGUUUUCUGAAUUUUGAUAGUUAUGUAGCCCAUCUGAAUCAUGAAUUCUGCUUCGUAAGUGACACAGAAUCUAGUGCUCCCUUGCCUUUGCUUAGAAUGGAAGUGCAAUGUCAUAUAACUACUAUACUAUUUGGGAACUGACUUCAUUUUUCUCAAAAUUUUGGAUUUAUUUUUUGCAUGCCUGUCAUGUUGACACGUGUAUUUACAUGGUCUGUUAUUUCUUUGUGUGCAGUUCUGGAGGUGUUCUGUAAUUUAUGUAUCCCUAAUUCACUCUAGUUGUCGUGUGACUGGGUGCGUGUAGCCUAUUCACUUUUCUGUUCGGCUGUUCUUUUUGUCGCAUGGUGGGUCCCAAACAUGCGGUCGAGCGGUGUGAUCACGCCGCUUUGACCGCAAGCACGCCUUGCCUCUCCCAGUUUCUCUCCUCACCCGUACCUAUCCCCUCUUUCUAUUUACUGUAUCUGGCAUUCCGUCCGGCGGCAACGAUGUGAAGGGAGGCGCACCCUCGGCUCCGCGCCGUCCGGCGCGUCCUUGCUCCACAGCAGCCGACGCGAUUACUUCUGCACGGGGAGUGCCAGCUGCAGCGGCGACCGUGUGUUCGGACUCCACGGCAAGCAGCUGCGGACGGUGCUAGCUCCGCGAGGAGGAGUGCCGCGGGGUUGAUGGCCAUGGCAGAGUGGAGUGGUUCAGGAUUUUGUGUCCGUCAAAGCGGUUCUGCCUCCUUUCUGUCCCCUCUCAGCUCUCUUUUCAUCCCAUGCUUUUCUCUCUCUCUCUCUCUCCCCUUUUUCUUCUCUGAUCUCGCUCCUGAUCUGUUCGUGCCCUGAUCUUCUCCAUUGCCUAGAGCUCUCCUGCUUGGAGGUUGUGGGAGGAGUCAUGGUCGCCUGAUCUUUUGGAUCGCGGUUUUGGCCCUUUCGGUGGUGCCGCUGCGGCGAGAGACUCGCGCCGACCUGCCACACCAAUUCCCGUCACGCGCCGGCAGCAGCAGUCCGGCUUGCGCCCCGGGCCCGCAGGCUUCCCGGGCGGCCGAAAUCCGUCGCGCUAGCUCGGCUGCCGGGCGCCGCUGGGGAACGUCGACCGGAGCGCGGAGGAGAGCAGCAGGGGAGGAGCGGCGCCGUUCUUACUGCUGCCGUCAGGCCCAAGCCCUCCCUUGCGCGCGCUCUUCCUAGCUUGGAGAUGCGUCUAAGGUGGUGCAGCGCUCUGUGAGUCAGCUCCGCAGCACCAGGAUCCCUCUCCGGUCGGUGCUGAUUCGUCUUCUCCACAACGCCAUCGGGGUGCUAGAUCUCCGCUCCGGUAGCGGCCGGUGCCCCUCCACGCGCGAUGCCCUGGCUCAGCACCAGGUGGUGCGUUGCCCCUGCGUGAUGACAUGGUGAUCGGUUUUAGUAAUUCUUCUUCAGGUUCAGGUCCUACAUCAGGCAGUGUGUUCUGACAUCUGCUUUCAUUUUAGAUUUUGGCAGCUUCCUGAUUCUUUUUGUCACAUAUGAGCUUUUUAUUUGUAGGUAUGUACAUGCAGCCUAUGCUGGAUAUAAAUCCUGAACUUCGCUUAUGAAAUCUCAGUUUCAAAGUUUGUUCCAUGUAUCAUCCAAUGUGGCAGACUACCAUGCCCUCUGUCCGUAGUCAAUGUCGUGUUGUGUCUACUUUCGCACCUGCAGGCCCGACUCUCCUACAAAGCAGGUGGUAUGCAAAACCUACUGUGAAGGCGAGAUUCAGCAAAACAAAAGAAUUACAGAACCAAUAUGGGAAGGAAAACAAAAAAAGUUAGAUCCAAUAAUGCUUAGCCUUCCCUUCAGUUUGUACAUGUCGUUAUUUAAAUUUAGAAUGCUUAUGUAGUGCAUUCUUCUUGCCUUGAUCAAGUAGCACAACACUCACUAAUUCCUACUUUGCUUUACAAAUGUGGACAUUAAGAGAAUUUUCCAUGCAUAUGUUUCAUUGCAGGGUUUCUUCACACUUGUGAAUUGUGAUGCCUCCAGUUUAGAAGAAACUUAUAUAUUUCAGUACUGACCUUGAUCCAUUUUCUCUGUUAAACGUUGUCAUCGACUACUCAAACAGGAAGUACCAAAAAUAUUCUCCCAGCAUGUGUUCCUUUGAUAGUUCGUUAAUAAUUUUAUUUUUCUAUCACACGUAGGUUACUAAGCCAUUUUUAUAUUUUGUAUGUUAUUGUUCGAAGCAUGGUACAUAUUGCACUGAGUGCUACUUCCGGGCUGGGAAACAUUUCAAGUCAAGUACAUGGUUUGUU